rnacentral:rRNA from 1 species
ACGGAAGGCAGCAGUGGGGAAUAUUGGGCAAUGGACGAAAGUCUGACCCAGCGACGCCGCGUGAGGGAAGAAGAUCUUCGGAUUGUAAACCUUAGUCAACAGGGAAGAAGCAAGUGACGGUACCUGUGGAGGAAGCCACGGCUAACUACGUGCCAGCAGCCGCGGUAAUACGUAGGUGGCGAGCGUUAUCCGGAUUUACUGGGUGUAAAGGGUGUGUAGGCGGGACUGCAAGUCAGAUGUGAAAACUGUCGGCUCAACUGACAGCCUGCAUUUGAAACUGUGGUUCUUGAGUGUGGGAGAGGUAAGCGGAAUUCCUAGUGUAGCGGUGAAAUGCGUAGAUAUCAGGAGGAACACCGGUGGCGAAGGCGGCUUACUGGACAGUAACUGACACUGAGGCACGAAAGCGUGGGGAGCAAACAGGAUUAGAUACCCUGGUA